rnacentral:rRNA from 1 species
UACGUAGGGUGCAGGCGUUAAUCGGAAUUACUGGGCGUAAAGCGUGCGCAGGCGGCCUCUUAAGUCAGAUGUGAAAUCCCCGGGCUUAACCUGGGAACUGCGUUUGAAACUGGAAGGCUAGAGUGUGGCAGAGGGGGGGUGGAAUUCCACGUGUAGCAGUGAAAUGCGUAGAUAUGUGGAGGAACACCGAUGGCGAAGGCAGCCCCCUGGGCUAACACUGACGCUCAUGCACGAAAGCGUGGGGAGCGAACAGG